ACGCGGGGGCCAAGUACAUAUGCACGCAUGAGUUAUUUAAGGUUAAAAUGCAACUUUUUCUUUUGUCUCGAGCGUUUGUCCUUUAUCCCUUUUUCUGUUCACGAGCUAAAUAAUUUUUCACGGUAAAAUGGUCUUUCCUUUUCCGCCUAAAGCGAUAGAGAUUAUUCUUAACUUAUGACUGUCCUUUUCGUAAAAUAUUGAUACGGAAAAACCUAGCAACAUUUCAUUUUUGAUCUAACUGCAUUAAACACUGCAAUGAAUUUCAAAUUCUGUGUUAAAAAAUGAGUUAAACUAUUCAGGAAAACACUUUUAAUUAUUACAUGCUCAUAUACACCCGAGGAUUUUCCUGUAAAACGCUAAUUAAAAUAAAUAAUUAUUUCCAAAAGCCAAGCCCUUUUAUUUUAUUUUCUGUUAUUUUCUUUUUUUCAAAAGAAAAUAUUUAAUUCAACAAAAAAAGAAAAAAAUAUCGACUCCCCUCUAGGUAGCUGCUUGUAAUGAGAACAAGGAAAUAGAAAAUGUUAUAUAGAAUUUUUUUUCGGCUUGUAGUCUUUUAAAUUUAAUUCAACGUUUUAAAAAAGUAAAAGAACAAGCGAGAAGUAGAGUGUAUAUUGCAUGGUGGAAAUGGAGGUCGGGUGUAAUGGAGGACGGGUGUGGUAGAGGCUGGCAAAUGGCCUCCUCACUCUGCCCGAAAUGUGCCCCGUUCUUUAUCCCAUAACUCUACACGUGAUUCUCAGUCCUGAGCUAUUUUCAGCCUUUUCUUUUUUUCGUUUGAUAUUUUUUUUUUUAUCUCAGAUCUUAUAAUAACCCUUAUCUUUUCUUACUUGCGGUGUAGCAGCCAUUAUACAACUUGAAAUGAAAUUACACAAUGGUGAAUUACACCAGCAACCAACAAAUAAUUUCCUUCAUAUUUUUAUUUACUUUAUUUUCAUUUUUUUUUUUUUUUUAUUAAUUUUCAAGUUUUUCCAUAAAAACGACAAAUCAAUAUUAUUCAGGGUGUUGUUGGCAUUUCCAAAUUCCAUGCAUAAAUUUGUCGUUUAUUUACUGACAACGU
rnacentral:misc_RNA from 1 species